CGCUAGCGGGAGGCUUACACAUGCAAGUCGAGGGGUAACAUGGUUUUCGGACUGAUGACGACCGGCGCACGGGUGCGUAACGCGUAUGCAACCUUCCUUAUGCAGGAGGAUAGCCCAUGGAAACGUGGAUUAAUACUCCAUACUAUUAGUAUUAUGCAUGUAAUAUUAAUAAAAACUACGGUGGCAUAAGAUGGGCAUGCGUCUGAUUAGUUAGUUGGUGAGGUAACGGCUCACCAAGGCGACGGUCAGUAGGGGUUCUGAGAGGAUUAUCCCCCACACUGGUACUGAGACACGGACCAGACUCCUACGGGAGGCAGCAGUGAGGAAUAUUGGUCAAUGGGUGAGAGCCUGAACCAGCCAUCCCGCGUGCAGGAUGACGGCCCUAUGGGUUGUAAACUGCUUUUCUACGCCAAGAAAGGUCCCUACGUGUAGGGAAUUGACGGUAGCGUAGGAAUAAGCAUCGGCUAACUCCGUGCCAGCAGCCGCGGUAAUACGGAGGAUGCAAGCGUUAUCCGGAUUUAUUGGGUUUAAAGGGUGCGCAGGCGGGUUUUUAAGUCAGUGGUGAAAUACUGCCGCUUAACGGUAGAAUUGCCAUUGAAACUAGGAAUCUUGAGUGUGGUUGAGGUAGGCGGAAUGUGUAGUGUAGCGGUGAAAUGCAUAGAUAUUACACAGAACACCGAUUGCGGAGGCAGCUUACUAAGCCAUAACUGACGCUGAGGCACGAAAGCGUGGGGAGCGAACAGGAUUAGAUACCCUGGUAGUCCCACGCUGUAAACGAUGUUCACUCGCUGUUUGCGAUACACAGUAAGCGGCUGAGCGAAAGCA
rnacentral:rRNA from 1 species